UACCAAUUGUUGCCUCGGCGGAUCAGCCCGCUCCCGGUAAAACGGGACGGCCCGCCAGAGGACCCCUAAACUCUGUUUCUAUAUGUAACUUCUGAGUAAAACCAUAAAUAAAUCAAAACUUUCAACAACGGAUCUCUUGGUUCUGGCAUCGAUGAAGAACGCAGCAAAAUGCGAUAAGUAAUGUGAAUUGCAGAAUUCAGUGAAUCAUCGAAUCUUUGAACGCACAUUGCGCCCGCCAGUAUUCUGGCGGGCAUGCCUGUUCGAGCGUCAUUUCAACCCUCAAGCCCCCGGGUUUGGUGUUGGGGAUCGGCGAGCCCUUGCGGCAAGCCGGCCCCGAAAUCUAGUGGCGGUCUCGCUGCAGCUUCCAUUGCGUAGUAGUAAAACCCUCGCAACUGGUACGCGGCGCGGCCAAGCCGUUAAACCCCCAACUUCUGAAUGUUGACCUCGGAUCAGGUAGGAAUACCCGCUGAACUUAAGCAUAUCAAU
rnacentral:rRNA from 1 species